GCGGGAAACUCGCCUUGAGAUGAGACUUCCCGGGAACUAGAUUCCCCUAAAGGGUCGUUCGAGACCAGGACGUUGAUAGGUCAGGUGUGGAAGCGCAGUAAUGCGUUAAGCUAACUGAUACUAAUUGCCCGUGCGGCUUGUUCCU
rnacentral:rRNA from 1 species